UGGGGAAUAUUGGACAAUGGGCGAAAGCCUGAUCCAGCCAUGCCGCGUGUGUGAAGAAGGUCUUCGGAUUGUAAAGCACUUUAAGUUGGGAGGAAGGGCAGUAAGUUAAUACCUUGCUGUUUUGACGUUACCGACAGAAUAAGCACCGGCUAACUCUGUGCCAGCAGCCGCGGUAAUACAGAGGGUGCAAGCGUUAAUCGGAAUUACUGGGCGUAAAGCGCGCGUAGGUGGUUCGGUAAGUUGGAUGUGAAAGGCCCGGGCUCAACCUGGGAACUGCAUCCAAAACUGGCGAGCUAGAGUAUGGUAGAGGGUGGUGGAAUUUCCUGUGUAGCGGUGAAAUGCGUAGAUAUAGGAAGGAACACCAGUGGCGAAGGCGACCACCUGGACUGAUACUGACACUGAGGUGCGAAAGCGUGGGGAGCAAACA
rnacentral:rRNA from 1 species